rnacentral:lncRNA from 1 species
CCUCCUCACUAUCCAGGGCAAAGAAAGCUCACAAUAAUCUCUCUUGUUUCUUAUCUCUGCUUUCAACCAGGUGUCAGCACAUGCACACCCUGGAAUGCACCACUUCCUGUGCUGGGCAUUCAAGACAAGCCUGUCAGUUCCUUGAAGUCUACCUUUCCUCUUGAUGGUGAUGGAAUGACUUCUAAGCGUGACCCCUGAGUCAUGGGAGCUCAGGAUUCCCCCUGGAAACCACGAUGUCGAGUUAAAAGAGCCAUGCAGAG